GUGCUCCAGAGUGGCUAAGCUUUAGGAAGUCUCCUUAGGAUUUUCAGCUGAGUUUGCAUCCCAGCUCUAAAGGCAGGAAGUUUUUCUACAUUUGCUGCAUAAUGCUGGGAAGGAGGGGACAGCAAAGGUGCAAAGCGCAGAAAUGCCUGAGCCUCAAGACUCUCUGCUGUCUCCUUUGCCUGUCUGGGUGAUCUGUGAUUGAUGCCUUGGGAGGCUGCCUAGAACAGAGGCUAGGCAGUGUUAAAGGAAUAAAUUUGCUAAGGUGAUGCAACUACACUACAAGGGGAAUCCAUCACUUUCAUUAAGCAUGCUGAUGGAAUGGCUUUGGGCAUCCAGCAUUCAGCCAGGGUCAGCCUGCCACACACAUGGGACAACUCUGUAACCAACUCUGCCAGCCC